rnacentral:rRNA from 1 species
GACGAACGCUGGCGGCGUGCUUAACACAUGCAAGUCGAACGGUAAGGCCCUUCGGGGUACACGAGUGGCGAACGGGUGAGUAACACGUGGGUGAUCUGCCCUGCACUUCGGGAUAAGCCUAGGAAACUGGGUCUAAUACCGGAUAGGACCACUGCCUGCAUGGGUGGUGGUGGAAGGCUUUUGCGGUGUGGGAUGGGCCCGCGGCCUAUCAGCUUGUUGGUGGGGUGAUGGCCUACCAAGGCGACGACGGGUAGCCGGCCUGAGAGGGUGACCGGCCACACUGGGACUGAGAUACGGCCCAGACUCCUACGGGAGGCAGCAGUGGGGAAUAUUGCACAAUGGGCGCAAGCCUGAUGCAGUGACGCCGCGUGAGGGAUGACGGCCUUCGGGUUGUAAACCUCUUUCAGCACCGACGAAGCGCAAGUGACGGUAGGUGCAGAAGAAGGACCGGCCAACUACGUGCCAGCCGCCGCCGUAA